UGAACUUUGUAAAAGAUUUCUCGAGAGCCACUAAGUGAUGAAUUAGGUGAUUUUUAAAAUUCAGUGAUCCCAUGAAAACUUUUUACAAGGUUCAAUGACCAUUUGGGUAAUUCCUCUACAUGUAGAUCAUGAACAAAAAUUUUCUAUAAAGUUCUGACCUGGACACAUUCAAAAGUAAGCUAUCACAACACGUCUUUAACACGCUGGUUGACAAUUCUAAUUCCAAUGUGUUGACAAUCUAUCAAAGCAUAACCAACGUGUUGAAACGCAUCAAUGACGUGUACAAAAUCCUAAACAUAAUUUAGAUAUGUCAUCAAACAUUCCUGACUCGUGUCGACGAUCUAUCAAUGUCCGACAUGGUGCUAGGACCCCAGCCCAGCCGGCUCAUAAAUGGUGAUAGGCUUGCAUGCACCGGUACUUCUAACCCACUUUACUCUAGAUGAGCCAAGAAUGCCUGGUCCAGCACAACCCAUAUGACAUGACAGGCUUAUAUGACACUCGAGCUAGUGCAUGAAAUACAGUCAAACUCACUUUACACCUAUAAUCACAGUUGUAAUCAUCUUUUAUAAACACACUUCUACUUCAUGUACUUUGUAUUUGGGAUACAGCCCUGUCUAUUUCCCAACUGUAAGGUUCUAGCUACAUAUGUAACAACAAAGUAAUAAACUUACAAAACCAAAAAAAUUGUACAGAACAUGAAGUUCACGUCUGCAAAAAAAGGUAUUUUAUUAUCUGCUUUGCUUCCUCCUCCCGGUAUCAAAACGUGCAGGGCAAGUAUCUUGUAAGACAAUACCUAAGUCCGCAGCACAUGGUUGAUAAUAGCCAUCGACAAAAUCACGAUCCAGGCUGUUAAUAAAUAAACAAAAAAAUCGGAUGAGAUUGCUUCCAGCCGAAGAAAGCUGAAAACAAACAAAAACAAUAAAAUUGGUCAAGACUUGGGAAGCCUCUUGCAGUUNNNNN
rnacentral:lncRNA from 1 species